rnacentral:ncRNA from 1 species
UGAACAAAUAUGGGAAAUCGGUCGUCCGACCUGGGUAUAGGGGCAAAAGGCCAAUGGAACUGUCUAGCAGCUUGUUCCCUCUGCAGUUUCUCUCGGGAUAGCUGGUGCUCUCACUGAUGCACAAAAGAUGCACUUUUAUUCAUUCGGUAAAGUGAAUCAUUACAGGUCUUGGGGCAGAAAGGAUCUCAACUUCGUCUCAA